rnacentral:rRNA from 1 species
GACGAACGCUGGCGGCGUGCUUAACACAUGCAAGUCGAACGGAAAGGCCCUGCUUUUGUGGGGUGCUCGAGUGGCGAACGGGUGAGUAACACGUGAGUAACCUGCCCUUGACUUUGGGAUAACUUCAGGAAACUGGGGCUAAUACCGGAUAGGAGCUCCUGCUGCAUGGUGGGGGUUGGAAAGUUUCGGCGGUUGGGGAUGAACUCGCGGCUUAUCAGCUUGUUGGUGGGGUAGUGGCUUACCAAGGCUUUGACGGGUAGCCGGCCUGAGAGGGUGACCGGCCACAUUGGGACUGAGAUACGGCCCAGACUCCUACGGGAGGCAGCAGUGGGGAAUAUUGCACAAUGGGCGGAAGCCUGAUGCAGCAACGCCGCGUGCGGGAUGACGGCCUUCGGGUUGUAAACCGCUGUCGCCUGUGACGAAGCGUGAGUGACGGUAAUUGGUAAAGAAGCACCGGCUAACUACGUG